rnacentral:rRNA from 1 species
GAGUAAUGUCUGGGAAACUGCCCGAUGGAGGGGGAUAACUACUGGAAACGGUAGCUAAUACCGCAUAAUGUCGCAAGACCAAAGAGGGGGACCUUCGGGCCUCUUGCCAUCGGAUGUGCCCAGAUGGGAUUAGCUUGUUGGUGAGGUAACGGCUCACCAAGGCGACGAUCCCUAGCUGGUCUGAGAGGAUGACCAGCCACACUGGAACUGAGACACGGUCCAGACUCCUACGGGAGGCAGCAGUGGGGAAUAUUGCACAAUGGGCGCAAGCCUGAUGCAGCCAUGCCGCGUGUAUGAAGAAGGCCUUCGGGUUGUAAAG